UGGGGAAUAUUGUACAAUGGGGGAAACCCUGAUGCAGCGACGCCGCGUGAGCGAAGAAGGUUUUCGAAUCGUAAAGCUCUGUCCUAUGGGAAGAUAAUGACGGUACCAUAGGAGGAAGCCCCGGCUAACUACGUGCCAGCAGCCGCGGUAAUACGUAGGGGGCAAGCGUUGUCCGGAAUCACUGGGCGUAAAGGGUUCGCAGGCGGAAAUGCAAGUCAGUUGUGAAAGGCAGAGGCUCAACCUCUGUAAGCAAUUGAAACUGUAUUUCUUGAGAUGUGGAGAAGCAAGUGGAAUUCCUAGUGUAGCGGUGAAAUGCGUAGAUAUUAGGAAGAAUACCGGUGGCGAAGGCGACUUGCUGGACACAAACUGACGCUGAGGAACAAAAGCGUGGGUAGCAAACAGG
rnacentral:rRNA from 1 species